rnacentral:tRNA from 1 species
AGAAAGUANAUGCAAGAACUGCUAACUCNAUGCUCCCGUGCUUACACCCACGGCUUUCNU